rnacentral:rRNA from 1 species
CACGUAGGGUGCGAGCGUUGUCCGGAAUUAUUGGGCGUAAAGAGCUCGUAGGCGGUGCGUCGCGUCGGCCGUGAAAACCUGGGGCUUAACUCUGGGCGUGCGGUCGAUACGGGCAUCACUAGAGUUCGGCAGGGGAGACUGGAAUUCCUGGUGUAGCGGUGAAAUGCGCAGAUAUCAGGAGGAACACCGGUGGCGAAGGCGGGUCUCUGGGCCGAUACUGACGCUGAGGAGCGAAAGCAUGGGUAGCGAACAGG